GGGCAAGUGGCGGAACUGGCAGACGCACAGGUCUCAAAAACCUGAGGGGACUAUGUCCUCGUGUGGGUUCAAUUCCCACCUUGCCCA
rnacentral:tRNA from 1 species